AUGACUCAACGGUUAUAUACAUAAUUAUAAGUGAACAUGCUUAAAUGUUUACUGAUAGUACUAUCAUAUAUAUAUAUAUAUACGUAUUAUAGCAUGGAGAUAUCGGCAUAACUGUGAAUGAGGUGAUCAAGGCUGGCUCUCUGGGACACGGCACUGCAGUUCCAGGAAAGUUCGACUUGGACUUAGUCAUAUAUUCUUCAGGUAUUUAAGCCGACAUUGAGUGUUUAAGAAAAUGAUUAUAAAGUAUAUACAACUUAGCUAAAAGCUGGCCCAUUUCCCAUGUACUUUUGUAGAUGUAGAUGCAAGAGAAAUAAAAAACACCAGGGCAAAAAGACAGCGCACACCUUCUGGAGAUAUAGACACAGGCUAUGGGAAGUAUUUAGACAAACUGAGGAGCUUCUUAGGCAGUGUGCAGGAGUGACGCUCAACCGUACCAAACCACAUGCAGUGAAUUUCUGCUACUAUGGAAUUGAAGUGGAUCUGCUGGUUAGCCCAAACUGGCCAAAUCUAGGUGCACUUUGGACGUUUCUCCAAGAUGUUGACCGAGAAUACCUUUUCGAUUUCUCAGUGAAUGCCUCAAAGUGGCAAGUCAAAAAUUUCAGUGAGGUUCCAAGUCAGGUAAGCAAACAAUAAGACAUGCACAUAUUAAUAGCAUGACAUGUACGCGAAAGAGUUUAUCAAGCGUGCUAAGGCUUGGAGGAACAAAAAGUGGCUAUACACCGUAAUGUGGGCAAACCAAAAUCUUAUCUCAUCUCUCUUCUCGUACUGAAGUCAUACGAAAACGCACGAAAGCGUGGUGUCAGCACAUCAAGCACCUCAAUAAUUGCUAGAGAGACAGAAGUUGAGCUAAAGAAGAUUUUUAGGGAUCACAAAAAUGUCAAUAUACACUGGGAGAAGUACUAUACUUUUAGUGGUGGACCUACUCUCUAUCCACGACUGGAUGUAUAUACCAAGUGAAAGAGAGCCAAGAAUUCUCGAUUCGGCAAACCCUACAAACAAUUUGUAUAAAACUGGGAUAAAUGGGAACUGGACACAGCUCGUCACUAACAUUGACACUAUCGAUCUCACAAAAGCUGUGGAAUAUUAAAGCUUAAAUGAGCAUGCAUGUAUAGGUGUAAUACUGAUCAUUAGCGAAUGGUUAGCAGUUCAUGCAUGUGUAGUACACUAUAGAAACUGGCAACUGAAAACUUCACUAGGAAUACCAUAAUGUUUGUCAUAUUCAUGAUGGUUAUAACCUCAAAACAA